AUUGAACGCUGGCGGCAGGCUUAACACAUGCAAGUCGAGCGGAGAUGAGGUGCUUGCACCUUAUCUUAGCGGCGGACGGGUGAGUAAUGCUUAGGAAUCUGCCAUUUAGUGGGGGACAACAUUCCGAAAGGAAUGCUAAUACCGCAUACGUCCUACGGGAGAAAGCAGGGGAUCUUCGGACCUUGCGCUAAAUGAUGAGCCUAAGUCGGAUUAGCUAGUUGGUGGGGUAAAGGCCUACCAAGGCGACGAUCUGUAGCGGGUCUGAGAGGAUGAUCCGCCACACUUGGACUGAGACACGGCCCAGACUCCUACGGGAGGCAGCAGUGGGGAAUAUUGGACAAUGGGCGGAAGCCUGAUCCAGCCAUGCCGCGUGUGUGAAGAAGGCCUUUUGGUUGUAAAGCACUUUAAGCGAGGAGGAGGCUACUAGUACUAAUACUACUGGAUAGUGGACGUUACUCGCAGAAUAAGCACCGGCUAACUCUGUGCCAGCAGCCGCGGUAA
rnacentral:rRNA from 1 species